rnacentral:rRNA from 1 species
CACGCCGUAANCGAUGAGUGCUAGGUGUUAGGCCCUUUCCGGGGCUUAGUGCCGGAGCUAACGCAAUAAGCACUCCGCCUGGGGAGUACGACCGCAAGGUUGAAACUCAAAGGAAUUGACGGGGGCCCGCACAAGCGGUGGAGCAUGUGGUUUAAUUCGAAGCAACGCGAAGAACCUUACCAGGUCUUGACAUCCCGAUGCUAUUCUUAGAGAUAGGAAGUUACUUCGGUACAUCGGAGACAGGUGGUGCAUGGUUGUCGUCAGCUCGUGUCGUGAGAUGUUGGGUUAAGUCCCGCAACGAGCGCAACCCUUAUUGUUAGUUGCCAUCAUUAAGUUGGGCACUCUAGCGAGACUGCCGGUAAUAAACCGGAGGAAGGUGGGGAUGACGUCAAAUCAUCAUGCCCCUUAUGACCUGGGCUACACACGUGCUACAAUGGUCGGUACAACGAGUUGCGAGCCGGUGACGGCAAGCUAAUCUCUGAAAGCCGAUCUCAGUUCGGAUUGGAGGCUGCAACUCGCCUCCAUGAAGUCGGAAUCGCUAGUAAUCGCGGAUCAGCACGCCGCGGUGAAUACGUUCCCGGGCCUUGUACACACCGCCCGUCACACCACGAGAGUUUGUAACACCCGAAGU